CUUCAACUGUAGAAAGCUGAAAAUCCUUUACAAUUGUCGACAAUAAUUUGCUGCUUUACAUUUUAAAACAAUUUCCAUUUUCUGUGUUUUGGGUAAAUUGUAAUGUGGCCUCUGGGAAAACAAAGUUGUGUGCCUUUUGACCAUCGUGUAGCAUAAAGUGCUCUGCUCUACCCGUAUCACAUGUGAAAUGCAAAUAAAAAGCAAAUAAUCAAAAAAUAUGAAUAAUCAUAAUAACCGUAAUAAUAAUAAUGCUGAAUGUUGAAUGCUGAAUGCUGAAUGCUGAGUCUGAGUCGCAUUCUGUUAUCGAAGCUGAAGCUGAAGCUGUGCCUGAACCCAGGCAUUGUCCUCUGCAUUCGUUUGCAUGUUCUAACACGCUUUGUUACCUCCGAAUAACAAGAGAGGUGAAAGACAGAAAAAGCUGAAAUGGAACCUGAAAGGUGGAAUAACAGGUAACUGCCAAGCUCCAGAGGGCAAUGAAUACAAUCAACAAAAAGUGUAAACAAUAAGCUAAACAACAACAACAACAGCAGCA